rnacentral:rRNA from 1 species
UCGGGAAUUUUGGGCAAUGGGCGAAAGCCUGAUCCAGCCAUGCCGCGUGUGUGAAGAAGGUCUUCGGAUUGUAAAGCACUUUAAGUUGGGAGGAAGGGCAGUAACCUAAUACGUUGCUGUCUUGACGUUACCGACAGAAUAAGCACCGGCUAACUCUGUGCCAGCAGCCGCGGUAAUACAGAGGGUGCAAGCGUUAAUCGGAAUUACUGGGCGUAAAGCGCGCGUAGGUGGUUUGUUAAGUUGGAUGUGAAAUCCCCGGGCUCAACCUGGGAACUGCAUUCAAAACUGACAAGCUAGAGUAUGGUAGAGGGUGGUGGAAUUUCCUGUGUAGCGGUGAAAUGCGUAGAUAUAGGAAGGAACACCAGUGGCGAAGGCGACCACCUGGACUGAUACUGACACUGAGGUGCGAAAGCGUGGGGAGCAAACAGGAUUAGAUACCCCAGUAGUCCCUGAGCGGGCUGGCAAGGCGCAU